rnacentral:rRNA from 1 species
GGCGGACGGGUGAGUAACGCGUAAAGAACUUGCCCUUUAGACUGGGAUAACGGAGGGAAACUUCUGAUAAUACUGGAUAAGUUAGUAUAUCGCAUGAUAUGCAAAUGAAAGCUACGGCACUAAAGGAGAGCUUUGCGUCCUAUUAGCUAGUUGGUAAGGUAAGAGCUUACCAAGGCGAUGAUAGGUAGCCGGCCUGAGAGGGUGGACGGCCACAAGGGGACUGAGAUACGGCCCUUACUCCUACGGGAGGCAGCAGUC